UACUCCAGUGGUUUAAUGGUCAGAGCGUCCACCUCGAAUGCAGGAGGUUGUGGGUUUGAGCCCAAGCUGAGUCA